rnacentral:misc_RNA from 1 species
GUAGGUGAACCUGCAGAAGGAUCAUUACAGUAGUCAUCCGGGUUGCCGCAGGGCCUCCCGGGUAACCUACCACCCUUUGUUUAUUACACUUUGUUGCUUUGGCAGGCCUGCCCUCGGGCUGCUGGCUCCGGCCGGCGAGCGCCUGCCAGAGGACCUAAACUCUGUUUGUCUAUAUUGUCUGAGUACUAUAUAAUAGUUAAAACUUUCAACAACGGAUCUCUUGGUUCUG